GCCCAAAAUUCAGCAUGGAAACCUUCUCGUCAAGGUCGCCUUUCCAUAUGCGGGCGCGAGGAGCGGUGAAAACCCUAGCCAAUCCUCUCUCGUCCCCGCGCCUCCAUUAUCCUCCCUCCACGCUAUCCUCCCGCGCCUCCCUCAUAGCCCCGGCGCGGCGCCGCCUCCACCACCUCCUCCUCUCUCUGCUUGCCUCCUCUCUCGCUCAAGAAGGCGGACCGAGCGGCGGCGGCAUAUUGUCCGUAGAUGGAGAAGGCGGACACGAGCGGCGGCGCCAUCUUGUCCGCGGAUGGCAGACGUGUUUCUUGCCGCCGCCGCUGCUCCUCUCCCUCGCCUCCUCUGCGACGCUUCCUCCUCUUCUCUUCUCCCGCUCCAGUCAUGGCGGUGGCGGCCGGGCCAGGCAGGGCGGCGGCGGCCGGGAACGGAGAAGCGGCCGGGCUGGGAGAGCGUCCUCGUCGCCUUCAACCUCCCCACGCGAGAGAGGAAAAAGUAGGGACGGUGAAGCCUUGGGUUACAUGACAAAUGCAAAAAACUUUUCAAACAGGUGUGCCUGCAAUGGAACAUUGGAUUUCAGCAAUAUUAUUGGUUCUGCAUACAAGGAUACUAUCAAAUGGAGUUGAAAUUGUAGCUGCGUUAAGUUUGGUGACAUUUGCAAAGGAUUGGUUGAAAGAACAGAGUCACAAUACAGGAAAAUGUUGUUCUCCUGUUUUUGACUGCAUCCUUGUGCCGUCGUUACAAGCGAUUUCCCUUCACUACAGCCCCUUUCAUGUCGUCGUUACAAGAGAUUUCACAGUUUCCCCUUGUUACCAUGUUCUCAGUUAAAAUGCAGUUGUAGUGCUCCAAAGGCUAAACCUUGAAAUCAAAUGUAAUUUUGAAGCCAUUCUUGAUUAUUUUGCCAGCUGCGGUACAUGAUCAGAACUAAGGCGACAAUGGCCAGACUAGAUAAGUUAUUCAUUCAAUGUUUUUCUACAUCCCGAUUAAUGGGCAGUUUGGAGAGCGUUGUGUAAUCUCUACUUUAAUGAACUAUAUUAUAUCGGUUAUUUUAUUCUUCCUUUUUUUAUUCAUUGGCUUUACUACUUUAUAGGCACCUACCAGAGGCUAUAAGGAAAGUGAGCUUGAAUUAUGGUGCAGGAUGUCAGUAAAAUAUGUGAAUGGAUCAAGAAUUGUGUAUGUAGAUAUUGAUGCAAGUUGGUUGCAUUUUAGAGAUUGAACAACACCUGCUUCGUGUUUGUGUAGAAAGAGGAUGGCAUACUUUGCAUAAACUUGUGUAAUAUAUCAUUGUUUUAUUUCUGGGUCAGCAUUGAUUUUUUUCUCCAUUCAAAGAAAUUGUUUGCUAAAAGGGACAAAUAACCAUCUUAUAUUUCUAGAUAAUAUUCAGAUUCAUUAAAAUAGUGGUUUCAAGUGUCGCAUUCAAUACUAGAGUAGUAAGGAUUAAGGUACAGAACUUUGUAUGUUGUGUAAGAAUAAAACCAUUUGUUUAUCUUGCCAAGUUUCAGUAUUAUUACUUAUGAUAUCAUUCUACCAAUUGAUGAUAAGACAAUUGCCUAGAAAGAGCAGCGAUAAGACAAUGUACAAAGACACAAUAUAGUUAUAUUUUGCAUUUCUAGGGGAAAUUGCUGCUCAUUGAUAUUUGUUUGAGCUUCUAAUUUCUGUUUCCCCUAGAGUAUUGUUAAUGCUUUACCUUUUAUAUUAUAUAGUUCAAGCACUCAGAAGAACUUCUCUUGUCGUAGGUCUGGUGCAUAGAUUUAAUUGACACAUUGCCAGUUUGGACAACACCUUCAAACAUUAUCUCGGAAAGAGUUCAUCUGCACAACAAGACUUGGAUGGAAAGGCCUUUCUGCCCCAGCACAACAUAACUCCUGGGGUCAUAUUCGGCCUCCCAAGGUCCUACUAGGGUUGUUCUUUCUAAGGGUGAAGCAUUGACUGUUGUGCCAAUGCCGGGCAAAAGGAAUAGCUCUCUUGAAGGACAAAAUGCUGUAACUCCUCUUCAUAUACAAGAUAGAACUUAUGACUUCAAUUCCGGUGAUAGAAAUAGCCAGAUGGAUCACGAAAACAUUGUGAAGAUGGUGAGAUAUUGCAAGGAGUCUGAUCUGUUCUGAGGAAUGCUUGUCUUUGAGUACCAGCCAAAUGGGACCCUCUACUAGCAUCUUCACGAUGGGAAAGGAUGUUAACUAUCUUGGCCAUGGCGGGCGAAGAUUGUGCUCAGCAUCACGCGCAUUCUAAGACACUUGACACUUAACCGAUGGCUCUGUUCGCGCUCCCCGUGUUGACGGCCAGUUCAGUCUAUUAGUUAUAACAUGGCUUCUUCACUGCAGUUGACAACGAAGACUGCAGGGUGAAAACCCCACAGCAAAUUUAUUGAUUAGUAAAGUCAUAUACAAAAGAUUUGCAAAGGUUAGAGAGUCAGCUAGCUAUAACAGAGAGUCAAUCCAUAUUGCAAACUGUUGUGAGUACUUGGCUUUCACCCUAUGCAAGUGUAGGGUGACCUCAUGCCUAAAUUUGCUUCUCCAGGAUCUAAAAGAUGGCAACAAUUCUGAAAAGGUAAACGUUUGCUGCCGGUCGACCGGCUAGCGAUUGCGCCGGUCGUUGCACGCGCAUCUACCUCUCACGCAGCCACAUGCUCAAUCAGGCCCACACCAUCGCCCGUGUCCCUUGGUUGCCUUAUCUUCUCACGCGUUUUCUCCCCACGGGGGCAUCUUCCACCUCCCGCAAGCACCAUUCCCUUCUCUCUCUCUCUCUCUCUCUCUCGUGGCGUGUUGCUGUUGCUCGCGCGCAUCUUGUCCCUGGCAGCAAGGUUGUCGGCGUCUGCUCCUCUCCGGCCGCUGGGUGCCCGCGCAACGAGCUUUUCCCGUGGCGAACGCGAGCAGCUCCCGAAGCCAUGCGACCCGGCUGCGUCCGAGGAUGCUGGAACCGUCCAGUCCCGGUGCUGUGACCCAUGAGCACCUGUGCUUCUGCCGGCUGCGUUUGCUGCCCUCUCCCAACCCGCCUGCUACAACGGCGCACCCGACGGCGGUGUUGCAACCAACACCAGCCGGAGCUGGAGACGAUGUCCAUAGGUGUUGCAACCGGCACCGCACGAUACUGGAGUGAGGUGUUGUUGGUAUGGCAGCUAGUCAAGCGUGCUUCAACCGGCUUGAAAAAAAGCUUCAACCGGCAUCGAAAAAAGCUUUAACUAUGAAAAUAAGCUACAACCGGCGCAGAAGAAAGGCUUCAAACAUUGAAAAAAAGCUUCAACCGGCGCCGAGAAAAGCUUCAACCGUUGUGAAAAAAAGUUUCGAUCGGAAUGGGAAAAAGCUUCAUCCGGUGUGGAAAAAAGCUUCAACUGGUGUGAAAAAAAGCUUCCACGGUGAAACUUCGAAAACGGGCGCCGACGGAAAUCUACGGGAGGACGGCGAAAGCUGCAACGACAGCUACAAGCGUCUAUGGAAAAAGCUUCAACUGACCUGAGGAUGCUACAAACAUGGCUGAGGAUUCUGGAGCCAGCUGCGAGCAUGCUACAACCAGGUCUAACUAGAAAGGACGGCAAGCUGCUGGCAGCGUUGAUGGCCGGAAUUCGGCAUGCCGCGACAACGGUUGGGAGAUAGCGCACUGUGCGAGGCGAUUUUUGCUACAGGUCACAACGAGCGCGCUGAAUCAACGGCGACCGCGACCGGCGGCGAGGGCGGCGAGCUGCUACCGGUGGCGGGGGUGUGGCCGGAGGAGGGCGGCCGAGGCAUGCGAGGGAACUGUUUCUCGUUGACAGACGUGGGGGGUAAGUGAACGCGGGCGAGUAAAGGAAGAGAUCUGGGUCGCUCAAUCUCAAACGAUCCUACGAUCCAGGUGCGACCAGCCCAACUUUGGGCCGGCGCACCGGCGCCUAAUAGUGCCCUUCUGAAAAAUAGCUUCAUUUCUCUGUUUCCAAAUUGCCAGGCAGCCAGAAUAACAAGCUCAGUGAAGAAUGGGUGACCAAACUGCUGCUUUGUCAACAUAAAACUCUGCUCAAUGGAGUUACCCUGCUGCCAGUGAAUCUGUAGAUAGUUCCAUAUCCUGAUGCUAAAGUUGCAGCCAAAAAAGAGAUGCAUCCAAUCCUCAGUGCACCUUGUGGGACACAACACACAGCGAGACAUUCUCCAAAAAAAAACACGCACAGUGAAAGACAUCAGUGACAUUCCAGUGUCUUCUGCGAAGCAUGUCUCUGGUAUUUAGUCUAUCACUGAAAAGCAGCCAAGCAUGGUAUUUUCAAUUUAAAUCAUGUAAGUGUGGUUUGUCAUGGAUGUGAUACUCCGUGCUGCAAUCAUUUGGCAAUCAUUCUUGCCAUGAAGAAAUCGUAGAGAUUACCACCUUUGAGAAGGUUAAAGAUACAAUAUGUUCUCCUCGAGUAAAAUUAGUUCUGUGCAUUCUGAAAUAGUAGUUAUGUCUUGCAACUUCUGGUCACUGCUCUUUGCUAUAAGAAUCAUUGGUUGUUCAGGUAAAAAAAAAAGAAUCAUUGGUUGAAUGAGCAUUCAUAGGGCAUAUUGUGGUGUUUAAAAUCUGAAUAGUCAGUUGCUCUUUUAUUUCUUUAUUGCAGCUACCAUCCCAUAUUAAAUCCCUUUGCAUGUAUUGACUAUUUGUUCUGGAUUCUGGUCAAAACAAGAACAUUAAUGUUGGAAACUAAAUAUGCAAUUUUGUCUGCAAGAAAUUUAACUAAUGUCAUUUGUAUUUCAAUCAAAUAACUUAAUAAUGGUUUAAGCUCUGGACUGCUGCUUUUGCCCGCAGAAGAUUAAUUUUCCUUUUACAGGUUUUUGUACAGCUGUUGAUUGUGCAAUGCUCAUGCUUUUGUAGAGUGAAAGAUAGAAUCUUGCCAUUUCCGUUGGAUGUCAUGAAUUUUUGCAGAUGUGUGAGUAGAAGAAAUCCAAAAGGGAUGAAUAGUCGUUGAUGUAUAGCGAUCACAUUGGAGCCCUCAUAGUCGUCGAUGGAAACACUGAAGCGAGGUUUCAUACUUAUAAUUCGUACUAGCAAUGUGUCCGUGCAUUUCAACGGAUCCAAAGUAGAAUAAUGCAUGUUUACAAACUUGAAAGAAAAACACUCUAGUUUUGGCGCGCGCGUGUGCGUGCGUGUGUGUGUGUGUGUGAGGUUUCAUUCUAUAUUCCUCGUGGCUGUUUUGAAGAGGUGAGGGAGGGAUGUGAUUGGUUUCAAGAUAUGAGGGGUUUUCUGUUAAUUGCAGCAGAGAAGUGGGGUCUUGUUGCAAAAAUACCACAGCUUAUCUCACAGUCGUUAGAUGUAACGAUACGGAUCUGAUGGUCAGGAAUGAUAGAAGGCAGACACGCCAUCAUCACAAACUCAGUCUUUUAUAGAAGUAGAGAUAUAGCUGCAACGAUUUUGAAUUUGUAAUGACCUCCUUAUAUUAAGGACCGACAAGGCAAUAACACAUUGUUGACCUUCUGUUAUUUUUGAC
rnacentral:rRNA from 1 species